rnacentral:lncRNA from 1 species
CUGCUCUUAGUGACAUCUACCAGAGCAGUUGAAAUAUCAUCGCAGCAUUGACUCUGAAGAUAAAUUCACUUUUCCCCCAGUCCAGUCUUUGAACGGGAGUGCUUUAUCUCUGUCGAGGGCAGAUGUGGCACGCUAGCUUCCUCAUCUGGGUCCUGUGCAUCGGCAUGGAAGGGCUUUGGUCAGGUGGUGCACCCCUAGCCAAAUAGCUCCCCAAACUAUUGCUUGGAUUCAUAAAAAGAGCCGGAUCUCUAUAUCAAUGAUAAGUACAAAAUUAGCCAUUUUUUAAAAAGAAAAGUGAUCUUACAGCAUUCUAGCAGCCUCUGGGCAAUAUUACAACAAAUGUUGCUUAGUCAAAGAAGAAGUAGCGUGCUCAGUGGCGAAUAAAAAAAUUAGGAAACCUUCGGGUUUUGUUUUGAGAUACUUCCUGUGUUAGGUCACCAAGCAUACGUUCAGCUGGAAGGAUCAUUUGUCAGAAACUGGUUGCUUCACCCACCAAGGUAGGAGCUCAGCUGGCGAAACUUAAGGGUGGUCGGGUAACAGGCCGGCGAGCGGAAGACACGUCGACUUGCAGAGCAUGCUGCAGCGGGUGGACGAUGAGAGCCCUAGCGGGAGCGGAGGGAAGCCGAGGGACACGAGCAGCUUAAUACAGCGUUUUGGGCGAAACCCAUCGGGGCAAGCAGAGCUGAGUUACAGCAUGCGAGGAAGGCUUCGGGAGCGCAGGAAUCGGCUUCCUCUUCGAUCUCUCAGAAGAGAGCAUUUGAACGACGAUGUUUUCUGCAACUCAAGAGUAAAAGGGCCACUGGGAUGGAGUAAAAGGCAACUUCUCAAGUUAAUUGUAAGAUUUUUAUUGGUGUUUCACUCUGCUGCUCUCGGGUUGCUUCUCUGAAUUGAUUGCAGAUCGCCUAAUUUAUGUAUGAGCUCCAUUUGAAAGGCAACGCAAAUUGAUUUGCUGACAAGGCAUAGGGAAAGGUGACCCUAAUUUGUCACUUAAUCUUCAGUACAGGCCUACUGGGAAAAGAUAUGUACUAGGAACUGGCAAAAAUUUAAAUGCAAAUUUCCGUCUUCAUACGUAAGAUCCUCCAUAAAUACCUAGUAGAACAUAAUGAAGUUGUGGUACGGAUAGCAAAUGUUU